GGAGGGUGCGAGCGUUGUCCGGAUUUAUUGGGUUUAAAGGGUGCGUAGGUGGCUUUAUAAGUCAGUGGUGAAAUACGGUUGCUCAGCAAUCGAUGUGCCAUUGAUACUGCAAAGCUUGAAAUAAUUGGAGGCUGCCGGAAUGGAUGGUGUAGCGGUGAAAUGCAUAGAUAUCAUCCAGAACACCGAUUGCGAAGGCAGGUGGCUACGAUUUGUUUGACACUGAGGCACGAAAGCAUGGGGAGCAAACAGGAUUAGAUACCCUGGUAGUCCAUGCUGUAAACGAUGAGGACUCGCUGUUUGAUGGCAACAUUGAGCGGCUUAGGGAAACCGUUAAGUCCUCCACCUGGGGAGUACGCCGGCAACGGUG
rnacentral:rRNA from 1 species